GUCUACGGUCAUGGCAACCUGAACAAGCUUGAUGUCUGAUCUCCGAAGCUAAGCAGGAUUGGGCGUGGUUAGUACUUGGACGGGAGACCACCUAGGAGGUCCAGGUGCUGUACGUA
rnacentral:rRNA from 1 species